CUAAAAGGUACGUCUCCUAAGGGUCAAGGGGAAUAACUCGACUUAAAGGUACGUCUUAUAGGAAUCAAGGGAGAUGACUCGACUAAAAGGUACGUCUUAUAAGAAUCAAGGUAGAUGACUAGACUAAAAGAUACGUCAUCUAGGGGUCAAGGGAAAUGACUCGAUUAAAAGGUACGUCUUCUAGGGGUCAAGGGAAUGACUCGACUAAAAGGUGCGUCUUCUAGAGGUCAAGGAAAAUAACUCGACUAAAAGGUACGUCUUAUAGGAAUCAAGGGGAAUGACUCGACUAAAAGGUACAUUUUCUAGGGGUCAAGGGAAUGACUCGACUAAAAGUUACGUCUUAUAGGAAUCAAAGGAAAUGACUCGACUAAAAGGUAUGUCUUCUAGGGGUCAAGGGAAUGACUCGACUAAAAGGUACGUCUUAUAGGAAUCAAAAGGAAUGACUCGACUAAAGGUACGUAUUCUAGGGGUCAAGGGCAAUGACUCGACUAGAAGGUACGUCUUCUAGGAGUGAAGGUUCAAUUUAAGAAGUGUAUCACCCAACAAAUAAAAACUGAAAUCCCUAGACAAGAAAGUGUGUCUCCGAGGGAUAUAAGAUGAUGAAUUUUUACCAUGAUUUAAUUAUCAAACCUGUGCAGCAACAUUGUUUCCUGCAUUUGUAAAAGUGAGAAAUUACGGGCCUUGAUGUUUAGGCUUUGAAAUCCUUGAUUUGAAGGUAACAUGUGUUCCUAUUUCAUGCAAAGAAAGGUUGUGAGUUUAAAAAUAUGGUGGCUGGUUUGUGGCUUUGGCUUUCAUGGUAAACGCUCUUGCCGUCAUCACAUUUAAGAGUGACUGAGACAAACACAGCAUCUCUGUUUUGCCAUGCUUCUUAGAUAGACCCCUUGGAACCUUGGUAUUUCAUGAGUUCCUAGACUUAUUUAUUGACAAAACUUUCUGCUUACCUCAUUUUGGCUCACAAUCAUGUCUCUUUCAUGCGUUGGCCUUUUUGCCUUGCUUUGUACAAUUGAAGAAGCUGGUAGCCAGUUUUGAAAUCUUUUCUCACUUAUUUUGACAUAGACUUAACUCAAAGACAAGAAAAAAAUGACAAUGAUUUUAUUUGGAUAACUGACUCAAGAAAAAUAAAAAUAUAACUAUAGAAAAGAAAGAAAUAAUAAUAAACGUCCUUAUUCAAAAAGAUGAAAGAAAAGUUUAUCUAAAAAUGACAGUCAACUCUAAUGAUUAUGACAUGCAUAUCGGAUUAAACUGGCUGAUCUUUCCAUCCAAAAUUCUUACAAAUUGUUGUUGAGUUAACGACCCUGAAAGUGAGUUGCUUUCUUGGACCAAUUGCAUUCGGAGACCUCAUUCGGCUAGUGGCGCCUUGAAGGGUUUUCACCAACAAGCCUCUUUCAUUUUCUUUUAUCACCUGACUAUUGCCUUAUAGUAUCCGAGAGGUUUUUUUACCAAUAAGAUUCUUAUUUUUAUUUUUCUCAACUCACAAUCGUCUUACAGUGCCCGUGAAGGUUUUCACCGAUAAGACUCUCUCAUUUUUAUUUAUCUCAACUCACCGUCGUCUUACAGUGCCCGUGAGGGUUUUCACCGAUAAGACUCUCAUUUUCGUUUCUCUCCUGAUUUCUUAUGCUGAGGAAGACAAGUAGUUUCUAAAAUGCGUUAUCUACAUCCAUUGCAUGCUUAGCCUGAGCAUUCUCGAAGAUUGAUCUGAAGGUCUUUCUUUGGUUGUAACUUGACUUUUGGAUAAGGUUAGAAAGAAAGGAUGGCAUGGGGACCGAAUGAUACUUAAAGUGGGGUGGGAUAUACAACUUUUAGAAUCGACUCAAACAAUGAGGAUUAACUCAUGCCCCAGUUUCUUUUGACUGGGCAAUUCUAAAUUAUUUAUUUGGUUGGACCGAGCCCAGAGUAGGGUAGCCUACGUAUCUCAACCUCGAGAGAGGAGAAUCAGGUCACGCGUAGUUCUAGCAGCUUGUUCUUUUGAUUGAUUCUGAUUUUUGUUUCUUUUUUUUCUCUUUUCUCUUUAGGAUUUUUUUUCUGACCCUAUUUUGAUACUCUUUUCUUUUCUUUCCUUUUGUACACAUUUUUUUUUCGACACUUUUCUUUUGAGUUUUACUGACUCUAUCUUGGUUCCAAAAGAAGGGUAUGAAAGAAAAUAAAACAAGAGCUUAAAUGGGGGUAAACAAAGGAUGACACGAUGUUUGGAUAGCAGAAUGAAAUGCCUUCGUCAUAUCAAUCCUUAAAAAUGUAAGUACAUAUCUUGCAAUAUAAAAGUGAAAGAUGAAGAUCACUUGUGACAUCUUUUACAAAUUAACUUUGACUGAGUUUGUGCGUCACUAUUUCUUCUGCAAACUCCACAUUUAUUGUACAGUCCUCACAUUGAAUGACUCAUGAUUUUGUGAAGCUGAUUUUCUUCCUGUUCACACAGCCACUAUUUGACCUAAUUGAGACAUGUCGGUCAAUUGAUGACCAAGUUAUUCUUGUGAUUCUCAAAAUAAGUGCCUUAAUUUCCAGAAAAGGCUUCAACUGUCACCAAAUGUUUCAGCACUCUACCUAUUUUCUCUGAUUUUUCUCUUUUUUUUUUAACCUUAGCCCUUUGAUUCAAAGUUCAUGCUAAAACUGGUUUUCAAGAUCCAACUGAAAAUUUCGCAAGCAUGUCAUAUCACUAGAAUCAACACAAAAUUGACUGUGUAAAGAAAACAAACAACACAUACUUAAAACACAAAGGGAAAGGGACACUUCAUUUAGUUGAAAUAAAAUAUAGAAGGGUUUGAACAUGCAUGACAAAGGGAUAAAACAAGAUAGAUCCCGAACUACAACCCUGAAAUAACUUAGAAAACAGAAAAGAAAAGAAAACAAACUACCAGACCUCUUCCUAGCAGGGAGGAGGGUGACUUCUCAAUUGGUCAGCCUAACAACUUAGCCACUGGUUUGCAUAUCAGCAUGACUAGAGCUUUCCUCACUGUCAGACACAUUCCCUUCAGUAAAUAAGUUCUGGAUUCCCAUGCUUAACUUAUUUUCUCCCACAUAUUUUGCAGUACCUCAUACUAGUGAAGAACUCUGUGGGAUGCUCGAGGUGCCAACGUUUUGCACUAUAAUCACUUUUUCUUGAAUCAUCUUGUCUAUUUCUCUUUUCAAAGUACGACAAUCUUCAAUACAGUGACCUUGAAUAUUAGAAUGAUAUGCACACCGUAUAUUAGAGUAAAAAUUUCUUGAAUAUGGGUCAGGUGUAUACCCAAGGAGAGGAGUGAUCAUGCCCUACUGUACCAAUCUCUGGAAUAAACUGGCAUAGGAUUCCCCAAUAGGAGUGAAAUUAUCUUUUUUCUUCCUCAUCUUUGCGAACUCUGGCCUCGGAUGAAACUUGGAUUUAGAGGUUCCUUGGUAAAUUUGUGGGGGUCGAGGAUGAUGUUGAGAGACAGGUGCAUGCCAUUGUGGAUAAGAAGAUGGAUGAGCAUACAAUUGUGCAUUGUUCAAAGGAUAUUGAGGAAGUGGAAUGGGAUUUCUUGGAUUUUGGGGAAAGAAACCUUGUUGCAAGUGGUUAUGUGGAUCUAAUAUACAAGCUUGGGAUUGAGGCUAACAGUAUUGGUAGGUUGGACCUCUCAAACUCUACUUUGGCCCUGGCAUGACAAUAGGUCUGUUUUCCUUCUUCUUUCCUUCAGUUUCCCUUGGUUGAUUACAAUGUUGUCCCAAAUAUUUCACAUAAUCCUUCUGUCCAUCAGGCUCCCCAAAUUUUGAUGUCUCAAAGUUGGGAAGAAGGUUAACACUUGAAAACAUGCCCCAGUUUUUAUAUGAAACAUCUUCAUAGCUCAUAAGUCCGGGGGAAUUUUUCAUAUCAUUUUCUACACUAUUAACUUUCCAACCACUUUAUCUAGCUCUUCUAGUAUGCUAGACUUCUUAGUAAGAAAUUUUGGCGGUCCACUUUAUUUAAUGGUAGGCUCAAGAGUAUAACAAUGAUCAUCAAGAGUAUUGAACAUGGAUUCACUAGUGGACUGGGGAAGCACAAUCGUUGGAUUGAUAGCCAAAGUGAAUGUGGUAGACUUAUACUGAGGAGCUAAAGAAAGAGUGGUGGAAGUAUUGAGGUGCAUUUGACGUGGAAUGGAUUCUGAGGCAUGCUGUGGUGUAUCAACAACAGAAGGAAACUGACUUUGCAAUUUUGGUGGAAGACUCAAGGUAUUUGCAGGGUCAAAAGUGGGGAACGGAGGUGGAGGCAGCCCACUAGCCCAAGCUCGGUACAUUUCCAUCAUUUGUUGUCUCAGUCUCAAAUUCUCUUCCUUUAAACUCUCAAUUUCCUGACUCUUGGUUUCAUCCAUGGUGCCACUCUCUAUAUCCUUGUUGGACAUAACUAAACCUUCCUUGGAUUUGGUAUGAUAUGGAGGACUAGCCAGGAAGCCUCAAACCAACCACCUUAAACUAACUGAACAAGAUGCAAUAAAUAUGUUAGAGUUUAACCUUUUUCAAAACCUCUUUUUUUUUAAAAAAGAUCACCGAACCCAAGAAGGGCGCCUACGUAUCUCACCCCCGAGGGGGGAGAAUCAGGUAUGCGUAAUUCGUGAAGUCUUGCCAAAAUGGCCAAUUGAACUCUUUGUUUUCUUUCUUUUUUUUUCUUUUUCUCGAAACUUUACAAGAAAAGAAAAUAACAAUUUGUCAAAAGAAUUGACGAAAAUGUUUUUGAAUUUUUCAGCUUUAACAUCCCUAUACAAUGUGAAAUCUAUGAUUACCAAAGAUUUUUUAUUUUUUUUUUGUAUUUUCAGUUUUAAAUUUCAUAUGAAAAUGAAACCUGAACCUAUUAAAGGAAAAUCUUUUUGCAGUUUUCUUUUAAAGGUGUAAAUGAAACACUUACUCUAAAUAAAGAGUGAAGAAAAUCCUUUUGAAUUUUUUUCAAAUAAGAUCCCCGAACCGACAAUAAGCUGCCUACGUAUCUCACUCCCGAAAGAGGAGAGUCAAGGGUGCGUAGUUCGUCCAGAUUGGACAAUUAAGGAUUAAUUAACAAACUAAAUCCUGAAUUGAGAGACACGACUAAAGACAGACGAAUAAAAUCUUUUUGGAUUCUGAAUUAUAAACUAACACCAACAACUAUGAAAGAAAAAAAAUCUUUUUGAUAUUUUCGUUAUAUAAAAAUGUACAAAGCUCCUAUUGAAAGGAAAAAAUAUUUUUGGAGGUUUCUAAUUGUGAAUACCUACUAAAGAAAUAAAAGGAAACUAUUUUUAACGUUUUAGAUUUUUUGGGAAAUGAGUGCAUAAAGUAAAAAAAAAAAUUUUUUUUUUAAUUGUGAAAAACAAAAGUCAUAAAGAACCCUAAAAACUACCAAAUACGCUUUUUUCUUCCUUUUUUCAACAAUUUCCUUCCUACACACGUUGCUUUUAACUCAUGCUUUUGCCCAAAUCAGUCUGUCAAAUGACCUUGUUACCCUCAAAGAUACAACAUUUAUCACGUAGGGAUGCUUUAGAGGUGAGUUUCCUACAAAGGACCAAGUGGCUCCCGCUAGGUCUUCAAUAUGAUGCACAUAAAUAUGACCUAAAGGCUGACCUACGUUGUGGUUCACUAACAAGGCUGUUUGGGGAAUCGUAUGGUCGAUAAUGGCUGCUUUGCUUUCCACCUACUCCAUAACACCGACGGCUCCCCCUCUUAAAAUAAGGGUGACUCAACUAGAGGUUGUGUACAACACGUGUACUACGGACUUGUUGCAGAAAGAAUGACUCGGGUUAUGCACAUGAUACCAGAUAUAAAGCGGUAACACAUAAAGUAAAACUGUAAACAAAGAGCACGUAGGCACUUAACACUGAUAAAAUGAAUACGAACAAUAACACAAACAAUGUCUAUACACCCAUAAUGUCAAACAAAGCCGAUAUAACUCCAAAAUUAGCUCGAAUUCUGAAAAGUCCCCAGCAGAGUCGCCAGAUCUGUCACACCCCUUUUUUCAACUCCAUAAAGAUUGUAUUUUUAUGUUUGAAAAUUCGAAAGUGUUUUUAUUAUUAAAGUGACAAAAGAUUGAAAUUUUAUUUUUGAAAAAGGAUUAUUUACAUUUUUUAUUCAGAGUCGCCACUUGACAUAAUUCGGUGUGUCAAGUCACCUUUGAAAAAUCCUUUUCAAAACAGUUUGACUCUAAAAGCUGAUCUACGAACAGAGAUUCCGAUUAAGGAAUUUUGUUGAUCAAGGAAAAGGUGUUAGGCACCCCUCGGUCCCGUGGUUUGACCACGAUCGCUUGGUGAAGCGUAUCGGCUAAUUUGACAUUAUGAAUAUAUAAACCACACAAAACAAUCAAUCAAACAAACAAACAAAACAAAUCCAAAAUUAUAUUGUCCAGUCCGAUUAUUACAAUCCCGAAAUAGAAAAGUGCGAAAAUAUAAACCUACUCUAUUCUAUGCUAAUUCUAAACUGCACUCCAUUGCUUUCUCCACCCGACGUUUCGGGCCUUGAUCGUGCGUCGUUUUCAAUUACAUGGUAUUUCGGAGCAUUCCCCGGAUAAAUCAAUACAAAUCCUCUGGGGCAUUCCCCGACCAAAUAAAUACAAUAGAUCCCAAUGCAUAAAUCAAAAUUAUUCCACAAACAUUUCAUCAUUCGACAAUCACAAAUUCUAAACUUUGCCUACCCAACUUACGUUUUCCUAUUACUUCCGACUUAUCAUGCUACUACCACGUUUAACAAUGUCAACAUCGAUCAAGAUGACAAAUUAAAUAAACUAAGUGAAAUUACGAAUUAACCAGCUUCGAUACCAGCCCCAGAUUACGAUUUAACCCCAAAUUGAGUCCAAGUUCUUUGAUUAUUCCAAUUCAAAACAAUCAAUCGAUCGACGUCAACAAUCAACCACUAUGAUCCAAAAUAUAUCAAAAUCAACAAAACAAAAUAAAACCCACACACCAUGAAUUUAUCACACCAAGUAUUACACGAUUAAAAAUUAAUUGAGAAUAAAAUGAAGAAUGGACCUUUUAUUCAAUCAAACAGAGGAGCCUCGCGAAUUCGGAUCCUCGACUUAAACCGACCUUGACAAAACCCCAUUUGGCGUCGAAUUUUGACCCCGAAACAGAUUUGAAAAUCAAGCGGAACCUCAAAAUCGCAAACCUCAAUUAACAAAUCAAACGAACAAUGGAAAACUCAAACGGAGGGGUGAACUGGCGCUACUGGUCGCCGAUUUUGGUGAUAUUACCCAAUAGAUUCCAAUAAUUUCGGCCAUAACAGUGAAGGACGGGACUGGGGAGAUGUUUUUUUGGUCAGUCACAUUUUCGAUCAGACCACCAAUCGAUUUCAGCUUGCCGUCGCCUUUCUCCCUCUCUCUCCAAUCUCACAAUCUCACUCUUGCUCGAAUUUCUCAUUCUUUAUCUCCCUCCUCUCUCGAUUUCUCCCUCACAUUGGUGUUACUGUAUGUGGUGUGUUUGUGAACGAAGAAAAAAAGAAAAAAAUGGUGUAUGCCUCUGUUUCCGUGGUUGAUUCUGUGUGUGGUGUAUACGAGGUGCUAUGGUCUUCUGUGAGGGGUGAUUAUUGUGAAUGGAAUUGUGUGGGUGUGUACCGUGUGUAUGUGCUUCAAUGGAAAAAGAAAAUAGAGAAAUUGAGCUAUGGGUGUAUCCUCUAGUGAAUCGAAAUUGGGAGUCUAUCAUGUGGAGUGUGUAUGUGAAUAUGGUGAUGGAGUAUGUGCUCUUUUUUCAUAAGGAUUUUUUGGUAUCCCCGUCCCUUUUUCUAACC
rnacentral:lncRNA from 1 species